AUGGGACUUUAUCUCCAUGUGCAUGCCAUUUCUAGAUGUGCGUGGUAAACGAAUCCCAAAUAUUGAAGCUCAAGUUA
rnacentral:snoRNA from 1 species